GAUGAACGCUGGCGGCGUGCCUAAUACAUGCAAGUCGAGCGAACAGAUAAGGAGCUUGCUCCUUUGACGUUAGCGGCGGACGGGUGAGUAACACGUGGGUAACCUACCUAUAAGACUGGAAUAACUCCGGGAAACCGGGGCUAAUGCCGGAUAACAUUUAGAACCGCAUGGUUCUAAAGUGAAAGAUGGUUUUGCUAUCACUUAUAGAUGGACCCGCGCCGUAUUAGCUAGUUGGUAAGGUAACGGCUUACCAAGGCAACGAUACGUAGCCGACCUGAGAGGGUGAUCGGCCACACUGGAAAUGAGACACGGUCCAGACUCCUACGGGAGGCAGCAGUAGGGAAUCUUCCGCAAUGGGCGAAAGCCUGACGGAGCAACGCCGCGUGAGUGAUGAAGGUCUUCGGAUCGUAAAACUCUGUCAUUAGGGAAGAACAAAUGUGUAAGUAACUGUGCACGUCUUGACGGUACCUAAUCAGAAAGCCACGGCUAACUACGUG
rnacentral:rRNA from 1 species